rnacentral:lncRNA from 1 species
UGAAAGACACAGAGAGAGAGAGGCAGAGACAUAGGCAGAGGGAGAAGCAGGAUCCAUGUGGGGAGCCCAAUGAGGGACUCAAUCCCAGGACCUUGGGAUCACAACCUGAGCCAAAGGCAGACACUCAACUGCUGAACCACUUAGAUGUCCCCCAUUGUCUGCAGUUCAUAGUAUGUGGCAUUUGGUAAAGUUAUCUAACAAGGUAAUUUUGCCAAUAACUUGUUUUUUUCUUCCUAAGGAAAAUAUUAGUUCUUAACUUUGCAACUGGUUUUAUAAACUCCUCAGCAAUUUCAUGAUUUGUCCCUUUGUGAAAGUGCCAUAAAAUUUGAAUGUGUCAUGCAACUAGUUGACAAGAUGCCAUAAUAGUCAAUACAUUGGGAAUUAGGGACAACUGAAUUGCAGUUGUCCUACAAAAUAGAAUUUAGGUUAUUCAUCAAAUAUUAAUUUUAAAUUUUGGGAAACAAAUUAGGAAAUACUAAUAAAAGGUAAGAAGUACAUACUCCAGGAGAGAAGUAAUAUAGUGAAAUGGCUACACCUAUGGGUUUGGAAUCAGUUUGUAUUGGUUAUAAUUCUAGCUUUAUGUGGAACUUCUGUCAAGUUAUUUGUCUAUAUUAAUACUCAAUCACUGGUUUGGUAAAAUGACAUUAAUGCUGGUACCUACCUUACAGGGUUAUUAUAGUAACUAUGUAAAUAGUCACUAUAUAAAUAGUUACUAUAAUAACAUAUACAUUAUAUAUUAUAUAUAUAAAAUGCUCUUACUUUGUCACAUAGUUGUCAUUCAAUAAUUGGUGGUUACAUUUGAGAAUGAAAGGAGAAAUAUUUAGAAAAGGGCACAGGGAGUUUCAUAAAAAGAUGGAAACACUGUUUGCAAUCUAAAUAUUAGAUAUAGAAAUAAGGUUAAAAAUUAUGGUUCAAACAAAGGAUAGAGUUAUCCUGAUGCAGUUAAAACAAUACCACUGACUUAUAUUUAUUGACAUAAAAAUAUAUUGAAGAUAGAGUCACAAGACUAAAGAAACUUAUAAAACUCUAUGAUGUCAUCCCAUUAAUAGCAACAAAAAAUUAUUAGUUGUAAGUAUGCACAGAAUAUACCUUUAAAACCUAUACACCAGGGCAGGCCGGGUGCCCCCCAAAAUAUUUUAUUUAUUUCUAAUUUUUAAGAUUUUAUUUAUUUAUUCAUGAGAGACGCAGAGAGAGAGACAGAGAGAGGCAGAGACAUAGGCAGAGGGAGAAGCAGGCUCCAUGCAAAAAUCCUGAUGUAGGACUUGAUCCUGGGACUCCGGGAUCACACCUUGAGCCAAAGGCAGAUGCUCAACCACUGAGCCACCCAGGCGUCCCAAAAUAUUUUAUUUUAAAAUGCAUUUUCCUCUCUGUUUAUAUCUCUUCUCUUUACUUCUCUCUUUCAACUCUCCAAAACUUAUUUAUCUGAUAUAUGUUUUUAAAAGAUUUGCUUAUUUAUUUGAGAGAGAGAGGGGGAGACUGUGCACAUGACAGGGGAGGCAGAGACAGAGAAUCUCAAGCAGACUCUCUGCUGAGCAUGGAGCCUGUCACAGGGCUUGAUUCCAUGACCCUGAGAUUGACCUGAGCCAAAAUCAAGAGUCAGAUGCUCAACUGACUAAGCCACCCAGACACCCCCUGUGUCUGAUAUUUUUUUAAAAACUUGUCAAUCUUAUAUUUAUCGGGGCUUCUCUAUUUAGGAGUCAUGAAAAGGGAAGUACUUAAACAUAUCUGAAAUUAUUUUAAAAAUUACUCUUACUUAGUUCAACUAUUACAAUUCUACAGUAAAAAUUAAGUGAAGUAGAAUUAUAGCUGCCCAACAGAGGAGCAUAGGAACUUGCAAAUAAAUAUCUCUUCAAAGAUCAAAAAGCAAAAUUUAUUUUUUGUUUGAGAGACUACUGAUUUUGGAAAUAAUCUUAACAAGGUAUAAUCUAUACAAACAUACAAAACUAGAUAAGGCAAAAUAAAACUAUUUUUGGUCGGUCCGUAAAUUGGUGCUUGAUAAUCUCUUCUGCAGAGUUGUAGAACUAAUAGUUAAAAGUUAUUGAAAUGUAUUACAUAUGAGGUACUAAAUCGCAUAUAGAAAUUAUACAGAUUAAUUCUGUUAACUGUCUGAGAAGACAGGGGUAGUUUUAUCCUCAUUUCAUAGAUAAAGAUGUGUAGCAUAGCAUGGUUAAAUAACUUUGUCCAGGGUUCCUCAAUGAGCAAGUUGUAAUUGAGCAAGCUGAGCAAGCUCAGAACUGAAACUUACUGGUCUGCUUUCCCUAUUUAUUAACUGAACCUCAAAAGAUGUUUGUAUUAUUUUAAAAAGUUAUUUAAAAAAAUUGAUUACUCAAGUGUUUGCAAUGAUCAUUACUGUUUUCCUUUUACUUUAUAUUCUUCUUCUAGCUGCUUUCAUAGUUAUUUAAGCAAAGCAUCAUAGAAAUGAAGGUAGCGUUUUAAGAAAAGAAUUGGGGUCUGAAUGUGGGAAAAGUUUCUUUAGAGUUCUAUCUCUCUGGUGCUAUCAUUUCGGGCAAUGGCAUUUAAAGUUUUUGACUGUGACCUAAAGUGAAACACACAUAUAAUGCACAUGCACACCAAUGAUCCAUACAGUCCACAUAUAUGCAAGAAUAUUAAAGAAAGAAAAGUCUGAACCAGAAAAAAUAGUAUGCUUUUUGCUUAUUUGUCUUGCAUUUUUAGAAUAAGAGUCUGUAAUAGGACUUUGAUUAUUUCACAAAGUUUUUGAGAGAGCUUAUAAGAACUGUUACAUGCUUCUUACAUUUUAACACAUACUAUUAUAGUAUCUCAAAACAUACUAGCAAGUAUUUCCUAAGUUCAAAAAUGAAUGUGUCCAAAGAGAGAGAGAGAGAGAGAGAGAGAGAGAGAGAGAGAGAAUGUGUCUAAAUCUCUAGGAGCAGGACUUAACAAAAUAAAUUUGAGUUAGCAGAAAUAGUCAAUAAAACAUGCCUAAUGGAGUACUGACAAGCUUCCAAACUGCCAUCUCUCCAUCUUACUACCAGUCCAGUGAUAGUUUUCAACAUUUUUGUGAAGAUAUUAAAGAUAUUAUCCUAUAUCUAUUUUCUAUCAUCUAAUUCAUCUUCCUCUAUUAUCUGAACCAUGUCUGCUAUGGAAUGCACACCUAUACAGGAUAACCAGAUUGUAACAUGCAGCUGAAAUUGGAGAAGGUCAGAUUCUAUUUUAGGCAAAAUAACUGACAUUUUGCUCAUUUUC